rnacentral:lncRNA from 1 species
CCUCAUAAGUGGGAUUAGUGCCCUUAUAAAAGAGGCCCAAGGGAUCUGAGCUAAUUUGCUCCUGCCACCAUGUGAGGGUACAGCUAGGAGACUCCCUCUAUGAACAACAAUGCAAGAGUCUCCCCCAACAUUUUUGUCUUGCACCUGGCUGUAAAGAAAUUCCCUGACCUACCUUAUCUGAUUGAAGGUCAUAAGACCCCCAUUUCAUAAGGCAUCCUGCUCCAUACCUGAGAGGAAGGAACGCUGCAUGAAGAGACCAAGAAUAGUAUCAACAGACAUGCCUCACUGGGUCCCCCAUCAGUCUGUCAGUAUUAAAUCAGACAUACCCCUUUGUCCAAUCACAUUUUGACAUGAUUUUCCAUGAAUUGAUCAUGGCUAUCCAAUGAACUCUUCAUAAAAGGCCCAAGAGGACAGGGCUCAGGGAGCUUCUGGGAUAGCUGAACAUGUGCAGGUUCCUGGAGGAAGGCAUGCCUGGGGAGGGCAUGGAAGCUCCACAACCUUUCCUGUAUACCUCACACUAUGCAUCUCUUCGUCUGUAUCCUUUUUCAUUUUAUCCUUUUAAAUAAACUGCUCAAUGUAACUAAAAGUU